rnacentral:rRNA from 1 species
CCUACGGGAGGCAGCAGUGGGGAAUAUUGCACAAUGGGCGCAAGCCUGAUGCAGCAACGCCGCGUGAGGGACGACGGCCUUCGGGUUGUAAACCUCUUUUAGUAGGGAAGAAGCGAAAGUGACGGUACCUGCAGAAAAAGCACCGGCUAACUACGUGCCAGCAGCCGCGGUAAUACGUAGGGUGCAAGCGUUAUCCGGAAUUAUUGGGCGUAAAGAGCUCGUAGGCGGUUUGUCACGUCUGCUGUGAAAACUGGAGGCUCAACCUCCAGCCUGCAGUGGGUACGGGCAGACUAGAGUGCGGUAGGGGAGAUUGGAAUUCCUGGUGUAGCGGUGGAAUGCGCAGAUAUCAGGAGGAACACCGAUGGCGAAGGCAGAUCUCUGGGCCGUAACUGACGCUGAGGAGCGAAAGCAUGGGGAGCGAACAGGAUUAGAUACCCUGGUAGUCCAUGCCGUAAACGUUGGGAACUAGAUGUAGGGACCAUUCCACGGUUUCUGUGUCGCAGCUAACGCAUUAAGUUCCCCGCCUGGGGAGUACGGCCGCAAGGCUAAAACUCAAAGGAAUUGACGGCUGAGAGNGCGAGACGACACGAGGGAGAGG